rnacentral:piRNA from 1 species
UGCUGGGGAAAGAGAAAGACUGGAAGGC